CAGCCGCCGCGGGAAUACGAAGGGGGCUAGCGUUGUUCGGAAUUACUGGGCGUAAAGCGCACGUAGGCGGAUAUUUAAGUCAGGGGUGAAAUCCCGCAGCUCAACUGCGGAACUGCCUUUGAUACUGGGUAUCUUGAGUAUGGAAGAGGUUAGUGGAAUUGCGAGUGUAGAGGUGAAAUUCGUAGAUAUUAGCUAGAACACCAGUGGCGAAGGCGGCCAACUGGUCCGACACUGACGCUGAGGUGCGAAAGCGUGGGGAGCAAACAGGAUUAGAUACCCCCGUAGUCCCUGUCUCUUAUAC
rnacentral:rRNA from 1 species